GGCGAUAUAGUCAAGUGGUAAGACGAAGGACUGCAAAUCCUUGAAUCCCCAGUUCAAAUCUGGGUGUCGCCU
rnacentral:tRNA from 2 species